AUGACAAGUAGAUAUUUUAUUUAAAAUUGAAAGCUCUUUCUGAAGUUGCAUAGGUAUAAUUUUGUAAGCAAUGGAUGUUUAGGAUUUCCAGAUGAGUCAUUGCUUAUGAUCAAGGUCAUAAAGUGAGGACUGCUAAAUCCUGUUGGUUAACUGACUUUUAGAGUUAUGCCCAAGGUCAUUGGAUCUCACCACAGAAUACAAAGAUUCUAAUGAUUAAGAUUCUUUGCACCCCUAACACCCUCUCCUCUCUCCCCUUGGAUCUUUAGUUUCCUUCGGGAUUUUUAGGAAUCAGGACUACCACUUACUCAGUCACUGGGAUAGUAGCCUCAAUAAGAUGGCCUGAGUGUGUCAGCACCCUCAGAAAGUCAAGAUCAAAUUGGGAUCCAGGGAAGAUGGGUCUGAAGAUAAAGAAGCUUUAUGACCCUAGUUGGCCCCUGGAAUCCGCAUGGUGGAAGGAGAAAAUCGACCCCUGACAGGUGUUUUCUGAUCUCUACAUGUGCAUCUACUGGAUAUGAGUGUGUCCACCCUAGUCAAUCAAACAAACAUAAAUCAAAUACAUAACUAUAAAAAAAAUCAAACCUUCAUUCCAAGCCCAUCCUUUGGAGUGUUUCAGAAAAGGUAAAGCUUACUUAAAACUUUCAACUCGGGGAUCAUGAUGGGAAGCACUGCUACUUGCAUUCUCUGCAUCUUUAAACGCAUAUCUUGUCCCUAUUCUGCAAUCAUUUAGGUCUCUAAAAUCUCAGGUUCAGAUUUUUAAGAAUCUCUCAAAUAAUGUAGCCCAUAUUUUAAAAUCUUACAAUCCUCAUGUCCUUCUAAAUAAGAAGAAAGCCUAUUCCUGAGGCUGCGUUCCUUACCAUAGUCAUAAACGAAAGCUAACAUUAAUGAUUCAGUACUCUGGUGUAAGGGCACAUUUUAAUGCCUUUCAGGUUCUGCUGCAGAAGCCAUUCAAACUCUCAGCAGCUUUUAACCACAGCAUCUUCUUCUGAUCUACACCACAUGAUCAUCAGUGGCUGUGGUUCUACCCCAUGCAGUGGCCCUGACAAUGCUUCACAAUGUCUUCACAUCCCCCAGAUUUGGAUUGAAAGAAGCUCCUAUUUGCUUCAUGCUGUUUUCAGAAAGAGAACAGAGGUGGAAAUGGCUCCAGCAAAUUGUGAGCCUAUAAAUAAAACUGUAGCAUAUCAUAUCAAAGAGCUGAGUGAAAAUUUAAGAUGUUUAAUAAAAUCCACUAUAUUCAUUUUCAAUUCUAACAAAACUUUAGUUUUAACUAACUUUCCAAGGAUUUCCUAAACAUAUUCAUAUGAGUUUUAUUUAAAUUCUGUGGAUUAACCAUCAUAUCCCAUCUGAAUGAGAGGAAAGUGCACCUUAGUCGGGUUUGUAAUAAAAAAUAUUGACAAGGUGAUAAAAGGACAGUAUUCAAACAUGCGUAUGAUUAUACCUGUUAAAAUUCCAUUUAUUUUUUUCCUUUUAUUAAAGUUGGCUUUUACAGCUUCUCCUUCUGUUCCUCACGGCCCUUCUCCAUCUCCCUUACUGGAUCCACCACCUUUCUGCCUUUCUUUAGAAAACAAAUAGGCUUCUAAGAGAUUGAGAGAGCUUCUGGGUGGGGCUUGUGUCCACUUCACCUUCCAGCUCUAGUGCAGACUCACACAGGCCCCGUGCCUGCUGCCAGUCUCUUGUGAGUUCAUAUGUGUAUCAGUCCUCAUGAUUUAGAGUCUUGAUUUCUUGGUGUCUUCAAUCACUCUGGUUUUUACAUCCUUUUAACUCUUCUACCUGAGCGUUCCUGAGGGAAGCAAUUUGAUGGAGAUGCCCUAAUUCAGGAAGGAGUGUCCCAAGGUCUCUUAUUCUCUGUGUAAUGUCUGGCUGAGUUUCUAUAUCUGUUCCCAUCUGUACAGGAAGAAGCUUCUCUGAUCAUGGCUGGGAAAGGCACUGAUCUAUGGGUGUAGCUGAAUGUCAUUAGGAGUCAUUUUAUUACUAUGCUCUUUUAGCAGAUCAAUUCUAUUUGGUUUACCCUAGAUCCCUGGGCUGUCUAGUCUCAAGUUCUCAGUCACCCAAGUAGUAUUAGGUAAGGGUUCCAUCUUGUGGAGUGGGCCUAAAGUUACAUCAGAUAUUGGUUGGUCCCUCCCACAAGCUUUGUACCACCACUGCACUAGCUUCUCCUGCAGGCUACACACCAUUGUAGAUCAAAGGGUUUGUGGUUGAUUGGUGUUUAUGUUUCUCCUUUUGGAGAGUGCAGACUACCUUCUUGUACCAAAGACAUUAGAAUGUAGGGGUGAAGUCUCUAUGUGGGUACCAGCUCAACCUCUCCAUGUUCAAUGAGUUCUGUCGGUGUUGUCUGCUUUGGGGGCUUUUCGGUCAGUCUGUGGAGAGCAAAAUGUUUAUCUCAGUAUUAAAAGUUGGCACUUAGGAAUGAGGAUGAGCUAGAAGUCCACAAAUGGGAAGAAAGCCGUAUAUAGCAUCAAAAUCUGCUUGUCCCCUGAGAUCAGCAUCCAAGAGUGAGCAGGGGAGGCCACAAUCGUCUGCUACAGAUUUGGGGAUGAAACUGGAAAACUGCAUAGGAGACGAGAAGGAAGAGUGAAGAUCCUAAGCUCUCCUCCCUGCUGCCCUGGCAGCCUUGUCUGCAGGUUCCCAGGGAAGCUAGGAUAAAUCAAUGAAUGAGGGGAAGGAAGAUUGGUUUACGUAUGAUGUGCGACUAAAGAUGGGGGCAGCAGGGAGGGGAGGUUCCUGUGGGUGGUCUGCUACAGGGCUGGGGAUGAGACAGUGGGACUGGAUUCAGAGAGGAGAGAGAGGUGAAGAUGGAAGUUAUGCUGGCUGUCUGCUUCCCUAUAAUUAUAUUAUAAAAGUAAUUUGUUUUUAAGUAGAAUUUAGUUUCAGAGUGAAAACAUGUGUUUUCCUAUGGCUUUCUAGGAAUGCUAGUGAAGCCAAAGACCUUGGAGCAGAGCCUGCAGUCAGUACUUUACUCAACUUUACUAAACCAGCAUAAUUCCUAACAGCAGU
rnacentral:lncRNA from 1 species